AUCUUUUUCUGCGGAAAAAGAAAGCCCCUUUCGAAGCCCUCACUCUCUUCCACUUUUUCUGUCGCUCUCUUCGUUAUGCUCGCCGUCAGUUCUCUCCGCCGCCUAAUCUUCUCCUCUGUCAGGCUCUUCUCGCGUCGCCGAUUCCACGCUGAUUUUUUUGGAUCGGGAGAAUCCAGUUUAAUUCACCCAACUUCCAUCAUCCACCCCGAUGCGGUUCUUGGGCAGGGCGUGUCGAUUGGACCUUUCUGUACUGUUGGGUCUGCUGUCAAGAUUGGUAAUGCUUGUCAGUUGCACGCGUCGAGCCAUAUUGUGGGAGAGACUGAAAUAGGAGACCACUGCAUUAUUCAAACUGGUGCAGUUGUUGGAGCAGAUCUACCUGGUCUUACAGUCCUUGGACAUCAUAAUGUCGUUGGACACUAUGCUGUCGUUGGUGUGAAGUGUCAGGACUUGAAAUAUAAGCCAGGGGAUGAAUGUUUUCUGUAUAUUGGUGACCACAAUGACAUUAGGGAGUAUAGUUCCAUUCAUCGUUCUUCAAAAUCCUGUGACAAAACUAUUAUUGGUGAUAAUAAUCUGAUCAUGGGUCAUAGUCAUAUUGCUCACGAUUGCAAAAUCGGUAACAAGAACAUUUUUGCUAAUAACACUUUACUCGCUGGACAUGUGGUGGUAGAAGAUUAUGUUCAUACUUCUGGCGCAAUUGCAGUUCAUCAAUUUUGUCAUAUUGGAUCACAUUCUUUCAUCGGCGGGGGAGCUAUGGUUACGCAGGACAUACCAAAGUUCAUGAUGGUUUCUGGUGGUAGGGCAGAGCUUCGUGGUUUGAAUCUUGAAGGGCUCAGGCGGCAUGGAUUCUCAGAGAUUGAGGAAAUUUAUGGCUUCAACACAUUAUGGAUUAAGUUUUUUGGAUUGCAUUGGUACAGGAAGAAGAUGUACGUGGUAUGAGGAAGGCAUACCAAAAGAUAUUCAUGGUCAAUGAAGCAAACUCUGGGGGUCUCGACGACCGGCUCAGUCAAGUGGAACAUGAUGAAGAGGUUGCUUGUUUUUCUGCUGUGACUCAUAUGGUCCAAUCGAUCCGCGAAUCAUUUCGACCAAACCGACGAGGAAUAUGCAAGUUCAGAAAUCCAAGUGCAUCCUGAAGAAUUUGCCAUUGUUAGUGAUAACUCUCUGUUUUAGUAAACUUCUGAAGGUUUUUAUUUUUUGUGCUUUUUUCUAAAAGUUUUUUUUAAAGAUUAUUUCUUCCAGAUUAAAUUUCAUUUUGGAUUAUAAUUGGAGAUAAUCUCAACUGAA